rnacentral:ncRNA from 1 species
UUUCUUUUGGGCUUCAUUGAUGGCCCAAAUAAAGAAGGCCCACUGGAAAUUAGCAUGUUCACGGGUUGUGAACUUCCUUUCCUGGAGAAGAAGCAAUAACGGUAUCUUAGGAAUAAGCAUCAGCUAAUUCUGUGUCAGCAAUCGCGGUAAUAAAGAGUAUACAAGUGUUAUCCAGAAUGAUUAGGCUCAAAGUGUAGGUGGCUUUUUAAGUAUGUCAUCAAUCCCAGGGCUCAACCAUGAACAGACGAUGUGAACUAUAAGCUGGAGUCCGGUAGGGGCAAAGGAAAUUUUCGGUGGAGCUGUGGAAUGCAUAGAGAUCGAAAAAAAUACCAACGAAAAAGCACUAUGCUGGCCCAACAUGGGUGGCCCACUUCUCGGAUAGCCCAUUUACCUUUACU